rnacentral:rRNA from 1 species
ACCAAACCUGUAACCGGUACGGGCUCUGAGAGGAGAAGCCCGGAGAUGGGCACUGAGACAAGGGCCCAGGCCCUAUGGGGCGCAGCAGGCGCGAAUCCUCUGCAAUAGGCGAAAGCCUGACAGGGUUACUCUGAGUGGUUCCCGCUAAGGGGAUCUUUUGGCACCUCUAAAAAUGGUGCAGAAUAAGGGGUGGGCAAGCCUGGUGUCAGCCGCCGCGGUAAUACCAGCACCCCGAGUGGUCGGGACGAUUAUUGGGCCUAAAGCAUCCGUAGCCGGUCAUGCAAGUCUUCCGUUAAAUCCAGCCGCUCAACGGUUGGGCUGCGGAGGAUACUACAUGGCUAGGAGGCGGGAGAGGCAAGCGGUACUCAGUGGGUAGGGGUAAGAUCCUUUGAUCCAUUGAAGACCACCAGUGGCGAAGGCGGCUUGCCAGAACGCGCUCGACGGUGAGGGAUGAAAGCUGGGGGAGCAAACCGGAUUAGAUACCCGGGUAGUCCCAGCUGUAAACGAUGCAGACUCGGUGAUGGGAUGGCCUCGAGCGAUCCCAGUGCCGCAGGGAAGCCGUUAAGUCUGCCGCCUGGGGAGUACGGUCGAAAGACUGAAACUUAAAGGAAUUGGCGGGGGAGCACCACAAGGGGUGAAGCCUGCGGUUCAAUUGGAGUCAACGCCGGGAAUCUUACCGGGGGAGACAGCAGAGUGAAGGUCAAGCUGAAGACUUUACCAGACAAGCUGAGAGGAGGUGCAUGGCCGUCGCCAGCUCGUGCCGUGAGGUGUCCUGUUAAGUCAGGUAACGAGCGAGACCCA